UCUGCCUCUUACGUUAGCUCGACGGCUUCGGGUAUUACCAACUCCCGUGGUGUGACGGGCGGUGUGUACAAGACCCGGGAACGCAUUCACCGCGACAUUCUGAUUCGCGAUUACUAGCAACUCCAACUUCAUGCAGGCGAGUUGCAGCCUGCAAUCCGAACUGGGAUCGGCUUAUUGGGGUUAGCUCCAGAUCACUCCUUAGCUUCCCGUUGUACCGACCAUUGUAGCACGUGUGUAGCCCAAGACAUAAGGGGCAUGAUGAUUUGACGUCAUCCCCACCUUCCUCCGGUUUAUCACCGGCAGUCUCAUUAGAGUUCCCAACUUAAUGAUGGCAACUAAUGAUAAGGGUUGCGCUCGUUGCGGGACUUAACCCAACAUCUCACGACACGAGCUGACGACAACCAUGCACCACCUGUCACUCUUGCUCCGAAGAGAGGGUGUACUUCUACACCUGUCAAGAGGAUGUCAAGUCUUGGUAAGGUUCUUCGCGUUGCUUCGAAUUAAACCACAUGCUCCGCUGCUUGUGCGGGUCCCCGUCAAUUCCUUUGAGUUUCAAUCUUGCGAUCGUACUCCCCAGGCGGAGUGCUUAAUGCGUUAACUGCGGCACCGACAAUCUCUUGCCGACACCUAGCACUCAUCGUUUACAGCGUGGACUACCAGGGUAUCUAAUCCUGUUCGCUCCCCACGCUUUCGUGACUCAGUGUCAGUUACAGUCCAGUAAAUCGCCUUCGCCACUGGUGUUCUUCCUAAUAUCUACGCAUUUCACCGCUACACUAGGAAUUCCAUUUACCUCUCCUGCACUCAAGUCAUUAAGUUUCAAAUGCUUACAAUGGUUGAGCCAUUGCCUUUUACAUCUGACUUUAAUGACCACCUACUCACCCUUUACGCCCAGUAAUUCCGGACAACGCUAGCCCCCUACGUAUUACCGCGGCUGCUGGCACGUAGUUAGCCGGGGCUUCCUCCUAAGUUACCGUCACUUCUUCUUCUCUUAGGACAGAGCUUUACGACUCGAAAGCCUUCUUCGCUCACGCGGCGUCGCUGCAUCAGAGUUUCCUCCAUUGUGCAAUAUUCCCCACUGCUGCCUCCCGUAGGAGUCUGGACCGUGUCUCAGUUCCAGUGUGGCCGUUCACCCUCUCAGGCCGGCUACCCAUCGUCGCCUUGGUAAGCUUUUAUCUCACCAACUAGCUAAUGGGACGCGAACUCGUCCUGUACCACCAAAGUUUUAAUAUAUCUAUCAUGCGAUUAAUAUACUUCAUAUGGUAUUAAUCCCGGUUUCCCGAGGCUAUCCCUUUGUACAGGGUUGAUUAUUCACGCGUUACUCACCCGUCUGCCGCUUUCCAUCUUCUGCUUCACCGAAGUUUCACUUCCGAUU
rnacentral:rRNA from 1 species